CAAUGCUUACUACAGCAUCUCCUCUUGUGUACUGAGAACAGCCUCUAAGGCACAGGAAUCCCACUACCCCCCUGCUGUUAGUUGAUCUUUGUGAUAAGUACUGCCUAACUGGAAUUGCUGGGGUUAGAGUCUCUGUUGAAUUCAGCAGCCUGGGAAGAGGUCAUGCCCUGAUAUGACAUCUGUGACUGUCAAAUUUGGAACUAGCUUCAGAUUUGCUCUCAGGCAUGUCACCUACUUACAUUCCCAUCCCACUUUGCUGAGGGAGAAAACCAAACAGCUCAGAAGACUCCAGUAAGAAAUGAAAAUCUCAGCUGAAUGCUUACAGUUUAGUUGAUGUGAUAGUCAGUUUUCUACAUGGUGAUGAGUCUGGUAAAAAAAGAAAUCAAGGCCAGUAACUGAUGUCACCCAGGCUCCUGUGUUGUGACUUCAAAUUCAUAAUGAUGAACAGCUGAAAUGGUGUACUGUUACAUAGCUUUUCCCCUAAUGUAAGAAGUACCCUUAGGGUUCAAGCUGAUGCAGUGUAGUGAAGGAUGUGCUAACAGAUACUGUAUUGUAGAAUUUUAUGUUUAUAAAAUAAAUUGCUAUAGACCUAUUGUUACAUCUGCUGAAGUGAAUGGUUCAUUUGAAUACAGAUGCUCGGCCGCACAUGAUUCCUCAUUUGUAACACACUAACUGACAGUUCAAUGUUACGUGAAGUGUUCCAGCACUGCAGAAGAUUCCCUUAUUCUGAUGACUUCAUUCUCUGGAGAGAACUCAAGCUGCAGGAUUAAUCUUCCUGCACAAGUCCUGUGAAGUGUUGCCAUUUACAACCCUCAGGUUAGAUCUAUCCACUCUGUUCAAAAUGCCUGCUGAAGACCCCUGCAUGUUGACAUCCCAGGAGUACUCCAGCUAUGCCAGGACAUCUGCUGUGAUUUAACCCUGGACAGCAACUCAGCCCCACACAGCGGCUUGCCCUUUCCCCACCAGUGGGAUGGGGGAGAGAAUCAGAAGAGUAAAAGUGAGAAGACUCGUGAAUUGAGGUAAAGACUGUUUAAUAGGUAAAGCAAAAGCUGCACACGCAAGAAGAUCAGAACAAGGAAUUUGUUCUCUUAAGUUUGAUCUGCUUCCAUCAACAAAGUAUUAUGGGUGACAGCCUUGUAUGGAAUAGUAAUUUUCAUCUAAUUCUUUAAUUUCACUAUUUUGAUUAAAAAAUUGAUCCUUG